CAAGGUUUCCGUAGGUGAACCUGCGGAAGGAUCAUUGUCGAAACCUCUACAGAGAAGAGUGACUGUUGGACUCGUAUUGUCUUUGCACAGGUGGGUGGUUGGGUUCACGCGCUGUUCCCGCUCCCACCAUGUCGGGAGGGAUGGUGGUGGAGGUGCGGCAUCACUGAUGUGCGCCGUCUCCCCUCUAAGCUCGGUCCGAACGAACAACCAAACACCGGCGCUAGAAGCGCCAAGGAAAUUAGACCUGCCCGCGCGCGUGCCCUUCGGCCCCGGAGAUGGUGCGCCGUGGACUUUUGUCGUGUAUGCCAUACGACUCUCGGCAACGGAUAUCUCGGCUCUCGCAUCGAUGAAGAACGUAGCGAAAUGCGAUACUUGGUGUGAAUUGCAGAAUCCCGUGAACCAUCGAGUCUUUGAACGCAAGUUGCGCCCGAUGCCUUCUGGUUGAGGGCACGUCUGCCUGGGUGUCACGCACCGUCGCCCUCCGCUCUUUGCCCCAUUCAUGGGUAAGAGUAGGUGGGGCGGAUGAUGGUCUCCCGUGUGCUUUGGCAUGCGGAUGACUGAAAAUGGUUAGACUACGUUGCUGAGUUCCGCGUUGCAUGGUGGAUGAGAAAAUCUCUAAGACCGGACGCGUGCUUAGCCGUCUGCACAUGACCUCGAUGCGCUGCGAUGCAGUUCCUUUCGACGCGACCCCAGGUCAGGCGGGAUCACCCGCUGAGUUUUAAGCAUAUCAAUAA
rnacentral:misc_RNA from 1 species